AGCAGCCGCGGUAAUUCCAGCUCCAAUAGCGUAUAUUAAAGUUGUUGCAGUUAAAAAGCUCGUAGCUGAAUUUCGGGAUCAAUAUUUCGGUCAUGCCGUUGGUAUGCACUGUUAUCAUUGAUUUCUCACCUUCUAAAGAACCGUAAUGCCAUUAAUUUGGUGUUACGGGGAAUUAGGACUGUUACCUUGAAAAAAUUAGAGUGUUUAAAGCAGGCUCACGCUUGAAUACAUUAGCAUGGAAUAAUGAAAUAGGACAUCGUAUUCUAUUUUGUUGGUUUCUAGGAUCGAUGUAAUGAUUAAUAGGGAUAGUUGGAGGCAUUAGUAUUCAAUUGUCAGAGGUGAAAUUCUUGGAUUUAU
rnacentral:rRNA from 1 species